UACGUAGGGUGCAAGCGUUGUCCGGAAUUAUUGGGCGUAAAGAGCUCGUAGGCGGUCUGUCGCGUCGGAUGUGAAAACUCGGGGCUCAACCCCGAGCCUGCAUUCGAUACGGGCAGACUAGAGUUCGGUAGGGGAGAUCGGAAUUCCUGGUGUAGCGGUGAAAUGCGCAGAUAUCAGGAGGAACACCGGUGGCGAAGGCGGUGCUCUGGGCCGGUACUGACGCUGAGGAGCGAAAGCGUGGGUAGCAAACAGG
rnacentral:rRNA from 1 species